rnacentral:rRNA from 1 species
GCUAGCGGCAGGCUUAACACAUGCAAGUCGAACGGUAACAUGAGUGCUUGCACUUGAUGACGAGUGGCGCACGGGUGCGUAACGCGUAUGCAACCUACCUUUAACUGGAGAAUAGCCUUUAGAAAUGAAGAAUAAUACUCCAUAAUAUUAUCUUACGGCAUCGUAAGAUUCUUAAAGCUUCGGCGGUUARAGAUGGGCAUGCGUUCUAUUAGUUAGUUGGUGAGGUAAUGGCUCACCAAGACUCCGAUAGAUAGGGGGCCUGAGAGGGUUAUCCCCCACACUGGUACUGAGACACGGACCAGACUCCUACGGGAGGCAGCAGUGAGGAAUAUUGCACAAUGGACGAAAGUCUGAUGCAGCCAUGCCGCGUGCAGGAUGAAUGCCCUAUGGGUUGUAAACUGCUUUUAUAUAGGAAGAAACUUUUCUACGUGUAGAGAACUGACGGUACUAUAAGAAUAAGGACCGGCUAACUCCGUGCCAGCAGCCGCGGUAAUACGGAGGGUCCAAGCGUUAUCCGGAUUCAUUGGGUUUAAAGGGUCCGCAGGCGGGAAAAUAAGUCAGUGGUGAAAUCCUGCAGCUCAACUGCAGAACUGCCAUUGAAACUGUUUUUCUUGAAUAUAGAUGAAGUGGGCGGAAUAUAUCAUGUAGCGGUGAAAUGCAUAGAUAUGAUAUAGAACACCGAUUGCGAAGGCAGCUCACUAAACUAUUAUUGACGCUCAGGGGACGAAAGCGUGGGGAGCGAACAGGAUUAGAUACCCUGGUAGUCCACGCCGUAAACGAUGAUUACUCGGUGCUAGCGAUAUAACGUUAGUGCCCAAGCGAAAGUGAUAAGUAAUCCACCUGGGGAGUACGGUCGCAAGAU